AAAAAACAAACAAACAAACAAACAAAAAAAACUGCUUCCAGGGUUCCCCACCAGUUCCAUCUGAGUAGUUUCCUGGGAGUGAGGCCUGGGACUCUGCAUUUGAAAUAGGCUCCCUGGGAAAAUCCUGAGCUUUCUAAGGUUUGGGAGUUCUCUGUCCUGUGCUUGCUUUGGGGCAAGGGAGAAAGACGCCGGAGGGUGACAUGUUGAAACAGCCCUUGCUUUGAUUGGAUGGAGCGGGAUGGAAAGACAGGGAGAGGGGAGAAGUUAGGGAAGAGCGGCUGAGGGCCUGGGUGCAGGGAGGGUAGGCUGGGAGACUUGGCCUGAGAAUGAAUUGUGGCUUCAGAGCAACACCUCCACCCACCGACCAGUAAAGCCAACAAAGGUGUACAGGAGGUGCCACCAUUCUCCUGCAAAGUGGGCUUGGCCCCACAUUACAAGGCUCCAUUUAAUUCCUUCAUCCAAGCACUAGCUAGACAUUGAGCUAAGAGAGCAGAGUAUAAUACAAUUGCUGCCCUGAAAGACUUGCCCGUCCAGAAAGAGAGACAGGUAGCAAACAUAGCAAUUACAGUCAAAAUCGCGGCUGGAAUCCAAUGGAGCAGUGAUGGCUCAGAGCUGAAUUGUGAAGGGUGAAUAGGAGCCCCCAGCAAGAUACAAGAGGGGGCAUUCCAGGCGGCAGGAACAUCUUGUUCAACCGCUUAGAGGCCUGAAAUAGCAAUCUCUGGAGGAAUCUAUGAGCAGUUUGGUGAGACUGAGACUUAGAGUGCGUCAGGAACGUGGUGAGAGAGGAGGCUGGAUGAGCAGGCAGCGUCUUGGCUAGCCGAGGAGGCUCUGCUGCUGAGGCCAUGGGCAGCCAGGCCAUUGGCCACAUGCGUCUGAUCACCAAAUCCAGACCUGCCCAGACCAGCUAGUCAGGCUGCAUCUGCCUGCGAACUGAGGUGUAUGGAUGGGGGUCAGAAGCUGCCCGAAGGACUCGGUUCUGUGCCCAAUUCGUAUGGGAGCCGUGGGGGUAAGUCACCUCCACUCACCCUUCUGGUCUUGGCUUAAAUGUCACCCACACAGAGGUCGUCCCUGUCCUCUCCCAGAUCCCCUAUCUUCUCAGCCACACCACUUACCACAACCCAUCAUUCUAUUAUUUUUUGUCCUUGUAAUGUUUGUCUUUCCAAGCAGACUGUGAAGGCUGGCAGCAAGGUUGACACCAAAUAGACAUUUAGUAAAUAUUUGCUGAAUGAGGUUUCUCUAAACUUUGAUUUCCCUGUCUGUACAAAGGAGUGACAACACCCCCCACUGUGAAAUAAGAUAGAGCCUCAGAGCACCCAGCCCAGGCCUAGGACGCAGCAGGUGUUCAGGAUCCUGGGAGCUGGGACGAGGGGAGGCUGGGCUGGAAGGCUCUGGAAGCUCUCAGGAGCAGCAAGCUCCAAGAGCACAAGUGGUGAAAAGCUGGAACCCGAGGAUAAGGAGAGUCUGGGAAUUUGAAUUUGAAACCCACUCUGGGUUUGAAUUUUAGCCUUGCUGUUUAGUUUGGGGGCAUAUCACUUUGCUUUUCUGAGCUUCAAUGUUUAUUGGUAAAAUAGCCACUUAAAGCCCACCGUGGGGAGUUCCCAUGAACUGGUGAAGUAGUGAACCUGACUAGUAUCCCUGAGAUCAGAGGUUCAAUCCCUGGCCUUGCUCAGUAGGUUGAGAAUUUGGU